GAGAAAUAUCGUUUCCAUCUGCUCUGAGCGGCUAAUCGGCGACACUCAUUAUUUCCAGCGACGGGAAGCGCCCCGUCAGUCGGCCCGGAGGCCAAGGCCGCCCAACCGGCGGCGGCUCGCUCGGCUCCUAUCUCGCUGACCUCCACCGUUCGCCCACACCAAAAACACUCGGCGAGGGUUAGAUCGUGAAAAAUGGGUUGACGACACACCAAGGGCAAACGACUGUCGGAGAGGUAUAAAACGGGCGCCAGACGCAGCAGCGACACACUCACACAGUCCACACCACACUCAACAACAUCCACUCUCCAACACUCCACUCAACAUGCACAACCUGCCCGCCAUCAUGACGCUGACCAGGGAGCCGAUUGGCUCGGCUUGGCGGCAGCAGGCUGUUCUUUCGGCACUCUUCCGGCCUCUACAAUAUCGGCAUACUCGAGUGCGAUAGCAACUCGAGUGGGACUGAUUUUCGGUCUUCUUUCGACACUCUUCCGUCUUCUUCGAUAUCAGCCUGUGCUAAUGCAACGGCUAUUCGUGCAGGACUGAUUUUCGGCCUUGUCUUGUUUAAUGACUCGAUCGCUUCCUUUUGACAUUUUGGUUUCGACCUCAUCUUUUGGCUCAUUUCAAUAUAUCUACUUUUUGUU
rnacentral:lncRNA from 1 species